UACGAAGGGGGCUAGCGUUGCUCGGAAUCACUGGGCGUAAGGGCGCGUAGGCGGCCCUGUUGGUCGGGCGUGAAAUCCCUGGGCUCAACCCGGGGGCUGCGCCCGAGACGGCGGGGCUGGAGGCAAGGAGAGGCUCGCGGUAUUCCCAGUGUAGUGGUGAAAUUCGUAGAUAUUGGGAAGAACACCGGUGGCGAAGGCGGCGAGCUGGCCUUGAACUGACGCUGAGGCGCGACAGCGUGGGGAGCAAACAGG
rnacentral:rRNA from 1 species